rnacentral:hammerhead_ribozyme from 1 species
CCACUGCUGACGAGUCCCAAACAGGACGAAACAGCUGCCCAGUGC